UUUGCCUACGGGGGGCAGCAGUGGGGGAUAUUGCACAAUGGGGGGAACCCUGAUGCAGCGACGCCGCGUGGGUGAAGGAGCGUUUCGGCGCGUAAAGCCCUAUCGGCAGGGAAGAAGAUGACGGUACCUGACCAAGAAGCCCCGGCUAACUACGUGCCAGCAGCCGCGGUAAUACGUAGGGGGCAAGCGUUAUCCGGAUUUACUGGGUGUAAAGGGAGCGCAGGCGGCCUGGCAAGCCUGAUGUGGAAUACCGGGGCCCAACCCCGGGGCUGCAUUGGGAACUGCCAGGCUGG
rnacentral:rRNA from 1 species